rnacentral:rRNA from 1 species
UACGGGGGGGGGCAAGCGUUGUUCGGAAUUACUGGGCGUAACGGGCUCGUAGGCGGCCAACUAAGUCAGACGUGAAAUCCCUCGGCUCAACCGGGGAACUGCAUCUGAUACUGGAUGGCUUGAGAUUGGGAGAGGGAUGCGGAAUUCCAGGUGUAGCGGUGAAAUGCGUAGAUAUCUGGAGGAACACCGGUGGCGAAGGCGGCAUCCUGGACCAACACUGACGCUGAGGAGCGAAAGCCAGGGGAGCAAACGGG